AAGUCGAACGAGAACCAGCUUUGUAGCAAUACCGAGUUGGGGAAAGUGGCGAAAGGGGCAGUAAUGCGUGGGUAACCAACCCUGGGGACGGGGAUAGCCAUCCUAACGGAUGGGUAAUACCCGGCGACGUAGCGAGUUCGCAUGUUCUUGCUACCAAAUGAGUUUCGCCCUGGGACGGGCUCACGUGAUAUUAGCUUGUUGGCGGGGUAACGGCCCACCAAGGCAAAGAUGUCUAGCAGGUGUGAGAGCACGACCUGCGCCACUGGCACUGAGACACUGGCCAGACUCCUACGGGAGGCUGCAGUCGAGGAUCUUCGGCAAUGGGCGCAAGCCUGACCGAGCGACGCCGCGUGUGCGAUGAAGGCCUUCGGGUUGUAAAGCACUGUCGAGGGGGAGGAAAGCCGAAAGGUCUGACCUAUCCCUGGAGGAAGCACGGGCUAAGUUCGUGCCAGCAGCCGCGGUAAGACGAACCGUGCGAACGUUGUUCGGAAUCACUGGGCUUAAAGGGCGCGUAGGCGGGUGUCCAAGUCAGGGGUGAAAUACUCCAGCUUAACUGGAGAACUGCCUGUGAUACUGGACGUCUGGAGUGAGGUAGGGGCGUGUGGAACUUCCGGUGGAGCGGUGAAAUGCGUAGAUAUCGGAAGGAACACCGGUGGCGAAGGCGGCAUGCUGGACCUCAACUGACGCUGAGGCGCGAAAGCCAGGGGAGCAAACGGGAUUAGAUACCCCGGUAGUCCUGGCCCUAAACGAUGGGUACUAGACUGUAGACUGAACAUGGGUUUACAGUCGAAGCAAAAGUGCUAAGUACCCCGCCUGGGGAGUAUGGUCGCAAGGCUGAAACUCAAAGGAAUUGACGGGGGCUCACACAAGCGGUGGAGCAUGUGGCUUAAUUCGAGGCUACGCGAAGAACCUU
rnacentral:rRNA from 1 species